GUCAUUUUCAAAACCCAUCUUGGACACGAUCUGGCCGCGUCUCAAAACAUAGUAAGCUGCCUAACGUUACCUAUAAAAGCAGUUUGAAACCUCAAUGCGCGUUCCGAUUGUAUUGUGAACAGGCAGCUUACUGUUUUGAGUUAAAGCCGGAGAAGGGUCUGUCUGCAGCCCUUGCAAAGCCGAGUGUGCCUGCACACACCGCCUCUCUCCAACGGAUGCCCGCGCCCUGUCAAUCUAUCUCACAGCAGAGAGCGGACGGGGAGAAACCGAAACAGAGCGGGUCCGCGGGGGGAAGAGGCGCAUGAAAACAUCCAUGGGUGGCUGUGUGGGCAGUCAUCAUGAUUCUUCAGGCAGUUUAAACGAAAACUCGGACGGAACCGGAGUUGCUCUGGGGCGAAACCAGCCCCUGAAGAGAGAGAAGCCCAAAUGGAAGAGCGACUACCCAAUGACCGAUGGGCAGCUGCGCAGCAAGCGUGAUGAAUUCUGGGAUACAGCACCAGCUUUUGAAGGCCGCAAGGAAAUUUGGGAUGCACUUAAGGCGGCUGCCCAGGCCUUUGAAAGCAAUGACCAUGAGCUUGCUCAAGCCAUAAUUGAUGGUGCCAGCAUAACAUUACCACAUGGUGCUCUGACUGAAUGCUAUGAUGAGCUGGGGAACCGCUACCAGCUGCCUGUCUACUGCCUCUCGUCUCCUGUCAACAUGAUUGAGGAAAAAAGCGAGUUGGAGACCAUUGAGAUCCCAGAAGCUCUAGCUAGCGAAGGCCAGGAGUGUCAGUUGCGUCUGCGUCUCUCCACGGGACGAGAUCUACGCCUGGCCGUCUGCACGAAUGACAAUGUCCAGCAGAUGAAGCACCGUCUACAGACCCAGGAGGGUGUAGUGGCCACCAGUCAGCGCUGGUUCUUCUCAGGCCGACCACUCACUGACAAGAUGAAGCUGGAAGAACUGAAGAUCUCCAGAGAGUAUGUCGUCCAGGUGAUCAUCAGUCAGCCUCCCACAACCCCACCACUGCAGCAGAACCCCACUCCUGUGGAAAACUAAUGACUCAUUGGGGAUAUUAACCAGCACACCAAGUGUGUAUGUGAGAGGAUAUAAAUGUGCAUUGGCCACAAGAUUUUUCAGAAGAUUUCUCUAUUUUUGGAUUGGCCAUUUGAGUCUAGAGUCAACCUCUAGAGGCUUUUCCCUUCAAACACUCACUGCCUUUGACUUCUAGCUUUUUUAAGGGAGUUGAGACUCAGAUAUUCUGUUUAAAAGUCUCAGGUCUAGAAAACCAGAGUCCUGAAUUAAUCAAGAGAGGUCCAAAAAGUAUGGUUUUGGCAGAGGAAACUUAAUAAUGCUAUGUUAUUUUUAAGAUUAUGGAGUUAUAAGCUUCAUAUUCUUUUCUCCAUUUUUCUUGUGAUGAGAUCACAUGUCUGCAAAGCAGACCUGAAGUAUGGACCUACCUGUUUCUGUUAGAACUUGAAUUAUAAAACAGAGACAAUUGGGGUCAAAAGUACAUUUUAAAGUGCUAUUGGCUUUCAGAUACAUUUUCAAUUACAUAAAUUCUCUAAACAGCAUUCAUUCAACUCUCAUUUCAAAAGAGGGUAAGUUUAUUAGUCAUGUAGACAAGUAAAUCAGCUUUUUGACUUUUGCCUCUUUUUUUAAAUGUGCUUUUAGUGGAGGUGGUAGGUGUCACAUUUUGCAGAUAGAUUUCAGUCUAGACAGAUUUAAAAGCUCUGAAAGGUUGCCAUGUUGCUACGCAUCGUUCCACUAAUCCUGAGGAUAUAUAAGGGUGAUAAGGGGGUCAUCAUGUAAUAAUUGUGUGUAUACAGUACAUGUGAAUGGGGAAGCU